AGAGUUUGAUCCUGGCUCAGAACGAACGCUGGCGGCGUGGAUAAGACAUGCAAGUCGAGCGAGAUUUUUUCGUUGUAGCAAUACGAUGGAAAGUCUAGCGGCGAACGGGUGCUUAACACGUGGGCAACCUGCCAUGAAGUGGGGGAUAGCUCGCCGAAAGGCGAAUUAAUACCGCAUGUGAUUAGAGAGGACAUCCUUUCGAAAUUAAAGUCGGGGCAACCUGACGCUUCUUGUGGGGCCCGCGGCCUAUCAGCUAGUUGGUGAGGUAACGGCUCACCAAGGCUUUGACGGGUAGCUGGUCUGAGAGGACGACCAGCCACACUGGGACUGAGACACGGCCCAGACACCUACGGGUGGCAGCAGUCGAGAAUUUUUGACAAUGGGGGAAACCCUGAUCGAGCGACGCCGCGUGGAGGAUGAAGGUCUUCGGAUUGUAAACUCCUGUCAUUUGGGAACAAGGUGUGCGCGUUAACUGCGCGCGCAUUGAUAGUACCAGAAGAGGAAGGGACGGCUAACUCUGUGCCAGCAGCCGCGGUAAUACAGAGGUCUCAAGCGUUGUUCGGAUUCAUUGGGCGUAAAGGGUGCGUAGGCGGCGCGGUAAGUCGGGUGUGAAAUCUCGGAGCUUAACUUCGAAACUGCAUUCGAUACUGCCGUGCUUGAGGACUGGAGAGGAGACUGGAAUUUACGGUGUAGCGGUGAAAUGCGUAGAUAUCGUAAGGAAGACCAGUGGCGAAGGCGGGUCUCUGGACAGUUCCUGACGCUGAGGCACGAAGGCCAGGGGAGCAAACGGGAUUAGAUACCCCCGUAGUCC
rnacentral:rRNA from 1 species